ACGUAGGAUCCAAGCGUUGUCCGGAUUUACUGGGUGUAAAGGGUGCGCAGGCGGGCUUGUGCGUCGGAGGUUAAAUACAUCGGCUCAACCGAUGAAAUGCCUUUGAUACGGCAUGGCUUGAGUCCGAGAGAGGGUGAUGGAAUUCCUGGUGUAGCAGUGAAAUGCGUAGAUAUCAGGAGGAACACCGGUGGCGAAGGCGGUCACCUGGCUCGGCACUGACGCUUAGGCACGAAAGCGUGGGGAUCAAACAG
rnacentral:rRNA from 1 species